UGAGACACGGUCCAGACUCCUACGGGAGGCAGCAGUAGGGAAUCUUCCGCAAUGGGCGAAAGCCUGACGGAGCAACGCCGCGUGAGUGAUGAAGGUCUUCGGAUCGUAAAACUCUGUUAUUAGGGAAGAACAUAUGUGUAAGUAACUGUGCACAUCUUGACGGUACCUAAUCAGAAAGCCACGGCUAACUACGUGCCAGCAGCCGCGGUAAUACGUAGGUGGCAAGCGUUAUCCGGAAUUAUUGGGCGUAAAGCGCGCGUAGGCGGUUUUUUAAGUCUGAUGUGAAAGCCCACGGCUCAACCGUGGAGGGUCAUUGGAAACUGGAAAACUUGAGUGCAGAAGAGGAAAGUGGAAUUCCAUGUGUAGCGGUGAAAUGCGCAGAGAUAUGGAGGAACACCAGUGGCGAAGGCGACUUUCUGGUCUGUAACUGACGCUGAUGUGCGAAAGCGUGGGGAUCAAACAGGAUUAGAUACCCUGGUAGUCCACGCCGUAAACGAUGAGUGCUAAGUGUUAGGGGGUUUCCGCCCCUUAGUGCUGCAGCUAACGCAUUAAGCACUCCGCCUGGGG
rnacentral:rRNA from 1 species